GCCGAGAUGGCGCAACCUGGUACCGCGCAAAUCAGUAUAAUUUAUUAUCUGAGUGUAGGCCUGGAAUAUUUCUGAUUUUUCAGAACCAGUUAGCUUGUUUCCUUCGGGAUAUCUGGGUUCGAAUCCCAGUCUCGGCG
rnacentral:tRNA from 1 species